rnacentral:rRNA from 1 species
UACGUAGGGUGCAAGCGUUGUCCGGAAUUAUUGGGCGUAAAGGGUGCGUAGGUGGUUCGGCAAGUCUUGUGUGAAAUCUUCAGGCUCAACUUGAAGUCUGCACAAGAAACUGCCGGGCUUGAGUAUGGGAGAGGUGAGUGGAAUUUCCGGUGUAGCGGUGAAAUGCGUAGAUAUCGGAAGGAACACCUGUGGCGAAAGCGGCUCACUGGACCAUUACUGACACUGAGGCACGAAAGCUAGGGGAGCAAACAGG